rnacentral:rRNA from 1 species
UACGAAGGGAGCUAGCGUUGUUCGGAAUCACUGGGCGUAAAGCGCACGUAGGCGGAUGUGUCAGUCAGGGGGUGAAAUCCCGGAGCUCAACUUCGGAACUGCCUCUGAUACAGCACGUCUUGAGUCCGAUAGAGGUGGGUGGAAUUCCUAGUGUAGAGGUGAAAAUUCGUAGAUAUUAGGAAGAACACCGGUGGCGAAGGCGGCCCACUGGAUCGGUACUGACGCUGAGGUGCGAAAGCGUGGGGAGCAAACAGG